rnacentral:rRNA from 1 species
AGACGUCUACAUUAGAUACCCGGGUAGUCCCAGCCGUAAACUAUGCGCGUUAGGUGUAUCGGUGACCACGAGUUACCGAGGUGCCGAAAGGGAAACCGUGAAACGUGCCGCCUGGGAAGUACGGUCGCAAGGCUAGAAACUUAAAGGAAUUGGCGGGGAGCACCACAACGGGUGGAGCCUGCGGUUUAAUUGGACUCAACGCCGGGAAGCUCACCGGAUAAGACAGCGGAAUGAUUGCCGGGCUGAAGACUCUGCAUGACUAGCUG